UUAAACUUAAAAGUUACAGGCUGGGCUUCAUUAACAGAUCAUGUGAGAGAAGGUUAAACAAAAGCUGCUUGCAGAAGAGGAGAGAGGCUAUUGAAACAAUCAAAUACAGGUCUAAAGUUUGUUUUCCUGAAAAUCAGGUGCCUUGUUUACCCGGACUGCGGAUGAACAAGGGCCUCCCUUUUCCAAGACUCUGCAUCAUGGGGAGUAAUGAAGAGGACUUGUCAUUGCCUCCAGCUGCCAUUUAAAGCUGUCUCUGCUCCUUGCAGAAAACAGUGGAGAUGUUUUCCAAAGAAAAUUUCUUCAAGAUUUGAGUCUGGGUGCCAGUAGAAUACUUCUCUAAACUGCAAGAUAAUCUGUAAUGCAUCUUGGCCUUGAGCAGCAAACUUCAGAGUUUGUCUGUAUUAUGGAUUUUGAAGACAAAAUGAAAAUUGUCAUUCAUUGGUUUAUCCGCAAGAUUAUGUUUCAGCAGCUCUUCUCUGAAGCUAUAAGAUCAGCUUCCAGUUUCAGUUAUUUCACAGUCAGGAGCACAGCAUUAUUUGGAGAAUUGCUGAUGACAGACUCACAUUUGCUGUUUUGGCUUCCAUUAUGAAAAAACCACAAAGGAAAAGCUAUGUAGCAAACUACUUUGGCUCGCCAUUUGUUAAAAUGAAUGCAGAUUCUUCUGCUGUACUGGGACCACCUCUGCAAUUAAAAAAAAAAACCCCAUAUAUAUUCCCUGAAGCAUACUAAGAAAUUCUCCUGAAGUCAAACAGGAAGCUCCAAGAACUUCAGAAGGCAGGCAUUGCCUCUCCUCAAUUAUGACUGUAAAGAAAAGAAGUUUUGAUUCCCUUCAGCAACAGAAUGUGAUCAACAAGGAUGCAACAAGCAACAGUUUAUUUGUAGAAAAAUCCUUUAAAAUUUACUACAAUACGUAUAUCAGCAUCUCCCUCUGUGCUCUGCUGAUGAAUCCACCUGCAGAGAUUCACCUGAACUUUAUGAAAAAUUCCACAAGGAAAUGGGGUAAGAUGUUCCACAGGAACGAUUCUAACACCAC